CUCAAGUAGCACUCAAUAAAGGAAGUCGAAACAUAAACACAGAGGAGGAGCUCAAGGACAUUAUAGCCACCGCUCGUGACAUGGAGGCGCGCUGGAGUCACCUCUUUGACAUGAUUAUCAUAAACAACGACACAGAUCGUGCUUAUCAACAGCUGCUGGCCGAGAUCAAUUCACUGGAACGUGAACCGCAAUGGGUGCCAGCCAGUUGGGUGCAUAACAAUCGGGAUGAGUCGUAAAGUCAGUGGAAAUAAGGUGUAAGCGGAAUGGAGAGGAGUAAAAUGCCAAAACACAGGGAAACGAAUAAGGAAAAUUUGUGGGAAUUGAGGGACGUAUAAAAAGAAAGCUUAGAAGAAAAGUGAAAAUCAAAGAGAUUUAGUGGGGCAGAAAAAGUGUUGGGGAGUAUCGUUGAUGAAAACUGUCAUUAAAUUGCGGUUUGUUGGAGGCUGAAGCCGAUAGAAAGUUGCGUUGCCGCUAUACAGGUGACAGAAAAUCGAUAGCAAGUCGAUGAGCUUUUUUGAACAUUUUUGAAACGAAUUUCAAUCGCGGAACUUUCUGUCUUCGAUCAACUAAAAGAAGCUUUCAUUAGGUUUAGCUCUUGGCGAGCUACUUGCCUAUAACUUCGAUGACUCGUGCGCCUGCUAAUAUUGGCUUUGGCCACAGCUGUACCAACACUGCGAUACAGUGGCUUAACCCUUCAUUGCAUGAUUUAAUAUUUCUUUGUAAAAAAAACAUACACAUGUUAUUAGACCUCUAGGUAAUGGGAAAAAUAAUUAAAAAAAUCUUUGAUUUAUAGAA